rnacentral:tRNA from 1 species
GGUGGCUCAAUGGUAGAGCACUUGCCUUGCAUGCAUGAGGCCGUGGGUUCGAUUCCUCAGCACCA